rnacentral:rRNA from 1 species
GGCUCUAACUGACGCUGAGGCCCGAAAGCGUGGGGAGCAAACAGGAUUAGAUACCCUGGUAGUCCACGCCGUAAACGAUGAUUACUAGGUGUGGGGGGUCUGACCCCUUCCGUGCCGCAGUUAACGCAAUAAGUAAUCCACCUGGGGAGUACGGCCGCAAGGCUGAAACUCAAAGGAAUUGACGGGGGCCCGCACAAGCAGUGGAUUAUGUGGUUUAAUUCGAAGCAACGCGAAGAACCUUACCAGGUCUUGACAUCUCCUGCAUAACCUAGAGAUAGGUGAAGUCCUUCGGGACAGGAUGACAGGUGGUGCAUGGUUGUCGUCAGCUCGUGUCGUGAGAUGUUGGGUUAAGUCCCGCAACGAGCGCAACCCUUGCCAUUAGUUGCUACGCGAGAGCACUCUAAUGGGACCGCUACCGACAAGGUGGAGGAAGGUGGGGAUGACGUCAAAUCAUCAUGCCCCUUAUGACCUGGGCUACACACGUAAUACAAUGGCCAUCAACAGAGGGUCGCAAUACCGCGAGGUGGAGCCAAUCCCUAAAAAUGGUCUCAGUUCGGAUCGCAGGCUGCAACCCGCCUGCGUGAAGCUGGAAUUGCUAGUAAUCGC